GUCACACUGUUUUGCACUAAAUAAAUUAGAGGGCGUCUUUAAAUUGCAAAAUUCCUUGCAAAAGCAGUAGCAAAGUGUUUAGAGCUUCAAUUGUCAUAGGUCCUAAGACUAAACGUACUUCUCAGGAGGAUAAUACCCGGAACCACCAUUAACCCCAAUUCAAAAAGUGCUUAUCCGUUUCCGCAAAACUGCAUGUGGUGUUUGUUUCGCUUGUUUGGUUAUUUUCCCCAAAUAAUUCUCUCUCUUUAAAGUCUUGAAUUCCCACUUGAAUUGCGCAGCUUUUGCUUUGGGAUUCUGUCCAACAGAUUAGGCAGAAUCCAUCGCGAAAGACGCAGCAAGUAGCAACGUUUGUAAUCCGCGAAAGUGCAGUCGCAGAAUUUUCCGGCGGGGCUUCUGGCUUAACCAAUGUGGCACUUCCAAUGAGAAAUCAAUUGCAAGGCGUUGGAUGCUCUCAGUAUUGGUUAUUGGCGAGAUUGGCCCCGGGACAGCAUUACCAGACCGUUCCGAUUAGUCCGAAUUAAACCCCCUUCCGAUCUAGACACACAUCUUUAAAACACAAUGGCGGAGAAGCCGCUGGCCGACUGUCCGGAUUCUGGGCAGGUCCGCAAGCGACCCCGGCUGGAGGACGAGGAGCAGGAGCUCAAGGUGGCCGGCUUUUCGCUGAGCGCCAUCGAGGAAAUGCGCCAGACCCGGGACAACGAGCUCCAGAACGAGCCCAUGGACCAGCAACUCCGGCAGUUCCAGGUUCUCGACGAAGUCGGCUCUGGCAGCGAUGAGGACGAUGAGUCAGACAACGCUAGCGAGCAGCCGGGUGGAAAGUAUGGAGAAGGAGGCGACCUGGAGGAGGAGGAGGCGGCUGAAGGUGACGGCGAAGAAUACGAUUCCUCGGAAUUUGAUGAUGAGGAGAUCGAAAAUCUGCUGGACGAGAAGCUGCCCGACGAGCUCCGCGAGUCAAAGCAGCCCAAGUACGAGCAGCGUUUCAAGACUGUGCUAGAAGAAAAGCGCCUCAACCACUUUGAAGUCCUUCCCGAGGGAUGGGUGCAGGUGACUCACAACAGUGGAAUGCCGCUCUUCUUGCACCGCAAAACCCGCGUCUGUUGCGCAUCGAGGCCCUAUUUUCUUGGCACGGGAAGUGCCCGCAAGCAUGCAGUGCCCUUGGGAGCCAUCCCCUGUCUCAACUACAGGCGGGCUUUGGAGGAGGAGUCGGAGGUGGAGCAACAAAAAACAGAUGAAGCGCCUCCAGCGGCUGUGUGUCCUGUAACUGGAGCUGCCGCCUUACCGGCUGAACCCAUGGACGUGGAGGGAAAAGAGAACAACGACGGCAGCUCCGUUCCGAAAUCCCAACCGGAUGGCUUAACUGCCCUUAUGCCAGCUGCCAAAAUUGUCACGGUCAACGAGAACACCCAAAAAGAAUCCAUAACACCGGAGCAACUGAACACCUACUGCCAGAAACUCUUCAAAUUCAAGGUGAUCCGUGUGCUGCGAUUUCGGAGUUGGAAUGCUCGCCGCAAGUUCACCAAAAACCGCAAGCACAUCAAGAACAUCCAACGACCCACGCUGCCAGAUGGGACUAAGCUUAUUAAAUUCCCAAUACUAGCGGCGGCUGGCGAGGGAUCAACAAACCCGCGCGGUCGUAAGGAGUGGAUCAUGAAUCCCAAUGGCAAGAGCUUCGUGUGCAUCCUACACGAGUAUGUGCAGCAUGCUCUGAAAACGCAGCCCACCUACGAAUUCAAGGAGCUCCAAAAUGCAGCCACGCCGUACUCUGCCACCGUAUCGGUAAAUAAUCUCAAGUAUGGAACGGGCUAUGGCACCAGUAAGAAGCAGGCCAAGUCGGAGGCGGCUCGGGAAACGCUGGAAAUACUCAUUCCCGAUGUCAAAGACAAGAUUACGGGCAACAACAAGGACCAAAAGAGCGGCACUGCUAAAAAGGCUCAGAGCGAUCUGUCUGUUUUCGAUGACAUCCGCAUCGAAGAUCCCCGGGUCACCGAAUUUUGCAAUAAGACGACGGAGCCCUCUCCCAAUGCCAUUCUGCUAACUUGCUUGCAGCGCAACUACGGCAGCGAUGUUCAGAUCAGCCAGGAGAUCAACCGCACGGCGAAUAACAAGAAUGAGUUCACCAUGACCGUGGGCAAGCACACUGCCAAAGUGGUUUGCAAAAACAAGCGGGAGGGCAAGCAGCUGGCUUCGCAAGCAAUCCUUCAGAUUCUACAUCCGCACAUCCAGACCUGGGGUUCCUUGUUGCGCCUCUAUGGCAACAACUCCAUUAAGACCUUCAAGGAGAAGAAGCUGGAGGAGCAGGAGAUUACCGUCCUGCAGAGCAAGGCGGCGGUAAAUCAACCCAACCACGCCAUACUGGACAAACUUAAAUCCGAGAUGCUGAAACUGUGCGCGAAGCAGGAAAGCGUCCUGACCAUGGGCACUUUUGUUCCGCCAAGCGACGUCGACCUGCCCACUUCCUCCGGGUCGAAUUUGAACAACGUCGAACUUUGAUUGGGAAACACACAUUCUCUCUUGCCAACUUUGAUUCUCUAGUAGUGCAUGACAAGCUCCCAGUCUCUCAGUUACCCAGUUCCAUAUUCGAAAAGCUAAUGAGCUAAUGACAACAACGACGCGUUCUCUAGAGGCACACGAACUGAUUUCAAAUCGGCCUUCAACUAUCUGAACUGGUCAAUAAUGAACAACUACUCAUUGAGUGGCUUUAGCAAGAGGCCAAAAAUGCAGAACAAUUGCUUAUGAAGUGGUUUUACAUUAAGCAUUCCAACGAGCGUGGCACACAGACAUAUCUACCACGGAGAAAGCGGAGAGAGUCCAAAAAGAGUCGGAGAGAGAAAGCGAGGGGAGAGCGGCGCAGGCGCAGAUUCCCGGAUUUUGCGCAGCAGCCCUGCUGCGAGAUGAAUUGUGGCGAGUUGCGACCUGCCAAUUCGCAGUCCGUAUCUGUAUCUUCAGUACGGAUUCUUCGCGUGGCGAGAAAACCACUUCCCGGCGCUCCUAUCCUCAGGACUUUCGUCUGGGAUUCAUAAUUAAAUCACAGUAACUCGGCACAGACCGACAAAAAAAAAUAAAAAAACGGGCAGAAAAACAAAGCUGAAAAACGCCAACUGCAGUGGAGAGCAGAAUCACUUUUAUUGACAUUCAUCUUAGUUGCUGUCGCCCGUCGCCCGUCAAGCGUCAACCAUCAACGGUCGCCUGUCAGUGCUCCUCCAUCCCUCGGUGUGCCCCAAAAAAACCCACUUUAUAGCCCCCAGUCCCUCGAUUCGCGACUCCCGACUUUCGACUCUCGAUUCCCGGUGCUCGUGUGUCGCGUGUUGCAAGUGCGUGGGCUGCCCGUCAAAUCACUGGAUAUCACAAGCGGUACGACACGCGCGCCGUUUUUGAUUUUUCGCCUGGGUCUGGGCAAAAAAGUGCGGAAAUUCGGUGAAAGACGGAGUACUCGGAAAAUAAACGGAAAAUCGGGUACACACACACACGCACAAGCAAUCCUGUACACUGUGUCCAAUGCAUUUGGCCCGCUUGGCCUAGGCACUCGGAGAUAUGUAAAUUAUGCCAAAUUCUAUCGGAAUUUUCGUCAGCGCCAGUGAAUCGGUAAACAGCAGCCGCCGGAGCAGCAGAAGGCGGCCCGCAGUUCGCAGGACGCAGGAGCAGGCCAGCAGCAACAAGGA
rnacentral:misc_RNA from 1 species